rnacentral:lncRNA from 1 species
UCCAGCUUCACCUUCUAGGAACAUUGCCCUGAGAUCAUCUUGUGAGGCAGCUGGUCUAGCCUCCUGGAGGAGAAGCAGUUUUGUGGAGAAGAUUCCAGGCAUCCCUGCCAACAAGCACCAACUCCAGAUAUAUGAGGAAGAGUAGUUUACAACUGACACUGUUUGGAAUUGCUGGCACAUGGUGAUAAUCAAAGAAACAAAGAAGCAUGCAGUCCCAUUGUUGCCAGCAG